UACGUAGGUGACAAGCGUUGUCCGGAUUUACUGGGCGUAAAGAGCGCGCAGGCGGUCGUGCAAGUCGAGUGUGAAAGCCCCCGGCUCAACUGGGGAGGGUCACUCGAUACUGAUCGACUCGAAGGCAGGAGAGGGAAGCGGAAUUCCCGGUGUAGUGGUGAAAUGCGUAGAUAUCGGGAGGAACACCAGUGGCGAAGGCGGCUUCCUGGCCUGUUCUUGACGCUGAGGCGCGAAAGCUAGGGGAGCAAACGGGAUUAGAUACCCCAGUAGUCC
rnacentral:rRNA from 1 species